GGGGUUGUAGCUCAGUGCUAGAGCACUUGCUUCGCAUGUGUGAGGCACUGGGUUCGAUUCUCAGCACCA
rnacentral:tRNA from 1 species